rnacentral:rRNA from 1 species
CGGCGUGCUUAACACAUGCAAGUCGAACGAAGCACUUUACCGGGUUUCUUCGGGAUGAAAGUUUUGUGACUGAGUGGCGGACGGGUGAGUAACGCGUGGGUAACCUGCCUCAUACAGGGGGAUAACAGUUAGAAAUGACUGCUAAUACCGCAUAAGACCACAGGAUUGCAUGAUCCGGUGGUAAAAACUCCGGUGGUAUGAGAUGGACCCGCGUCUGAUUAGGUAGUUGGUGGGGUAACGGCUCACCAAGCCGACGAUCAGUAGCCGACCUGAGAGGGUGACCGGCCACAUUGGGACUGAGACACGGCCCAAACUCCUACGGGAGGCAGCAGUGGGGAAUAUUGCACAAUGGGGGAAACCCUGAUGCAGCGACGCCGCGUGAGCGAUGAAGUAUUUCGGUAUGUAAAGCUCUAUCAGCAGGGAAGAAAAUGACGGUACCUGACUAAGAAGCACCGGCUAAACACGUGCCAGCAGCCGCGGUAAUACGUAUGGUGCAAGCGUUAUCCGGAUUUACUGGGUGUAAAGGGAGCGUAGACGGAGAGGCAAGUCUGAUGUGAAAACCCGGGGCUCAACCCCGGGACUGCAUUGGAAACUGCUUUUCUAGAGUGUCGGAGAGGUAAGUGGAAUUCCUAGUGUAGCGGUGAAAUGCGUAGAUAUUAGGAGGAACACCAGUGGCGAAGGCGGCUUACUGGACGAUGACUGACGUUGAGGCUCGAAAGCGCGGGGAGCAAACAGAAUUAGAUACCCUGUUAGUCCACGCCGUAAACGAUGACUGCUAGGUGUCGGGAGGCAAAGCCUUUCGGUGCCGCAGCAAACGCAAUAAGCAGUCCACCUGGGGAGUACGUUCGCAAGAAUGAAACUCAAAGGAAUUGACGGGGACCCGCACAAGCGGUGGAGCAUGUGGUUUAAUUCGAAGCAACGCGAAGAACCUUACCUGCCCUUGACAUCCGGCUGACCGGCGAGUAAUGUCGCCUUUCCUUCGGGACAGCCGAGACAGGUGGUGCAUGGUUGUCGUCAGCUCGUGUCGUGAGAUGUUGGGUUAAGUCCCGCAACGAGCGCAACCCUUAUCUUUAGUAGCCAGCAUUUCGGAUGGGCACUCUAGAGAGACUGCCAGGGAUAACCUGGAGGAAGGUGGGGAUGACGUCAAAUCAUCAUGCCCCUUAUGGGCAGGGCUACACACGUGCUACAAUGGCGUAAACAAAGGGAGGCAAGCCUGCGAGGGUGAGCAAAUCCCAAAAAUAACGUCUCAGUUCGGAUUGUAGUCUGCAACUCGACUACAUGAAGCUGGAAUCGCUAGUAAUCGCGAAUCAGAAUGUCGCGGUGAAUACGUUCCCGGGUCUUGCACA